GCUUGUCUCAAAGAUUAAGCCAUGCAUGUCUAAGUAUAAAUAACUACACAGUAAAACUGCGAAUGGCUCAUUAAAACAGUUAUAGUUUAUUUGAUACAUUUUAAAUGGAUAACUGUAGAAACACUAGAGCUAAUACAUGCUAAGACCGUAAGGUUGUAUUUAUUAGAUAUACCGAGUAGGUGAAUCAUAAUAACUGAUCGAAUCGCAAAGCCUUUGGCUGCGAUAUGUCAUUCAAGUUUCUGCCCCAUCAGCUUUCGAUGGUAGUGUAUUGGACUACCAUGGCUUUUACGGGUAACGGAGAAUUAGGGUUCGAUUCCGGAGAGGGAGCCUGAGAAACGGCUACCACAUCUAAGGAAGGCAGCAGG
rnacentral:rRNA from 1 species